GGCCGCCUGGCGAAAUGGUAUCGCGUCUGACUACGAUUUAAUCAGGAGAUUGCAGGUUCGAGCCCUGCGGUGGUCA
rnacentral:tRNA from 1 species